CCCACUUCUUGGCCUUUUGGCUAAGAUCAAGUGUAGUACCAUUAAUUAAUUCAGUAAAACAAAUAUUAGUCAGUUAUGAUGAAUAAGCUCAAGAGUUUUCGAAGACAGGCGUCUUUUUGUGGCUAUCUCUCUCUCGGCAUUCCUCACACAAUCAUGGAGGUGAUGAACCAGUUCCUCCUCAAUGUUGUCAACAA